UUUUUGGUGGCCGAGUGGUUUAAGGCGGCAAUUUUGAAAAUUGUUAUGAAUUAUAUUUAUCGUAGGUUCGAAUCCUACCCAAUAAG
rnacentral:tRNA from 1 species